CGGGUGAGUAACGCGUGAGGAACCUGCCUCAAAGAGGGGGACAACAGUUGGAAACGACUGCUAAUACCGCAUGAGCCCACGGCUCGGCAUCGAGCAGAGGGAAAAGGAGCAAUCCGCUUUGAGAUGGCCUCGCGUCCGAUUAGCUAGUUGGUGAGGUAACGGCCCACCAAGGCGACGAUCGGUAGCCGGACUGGGAGGUUGAACGGCCACAUUGGGACUGAGACACGGCCCAG
rnacentral:rRNA from 1 species